UACGGAGGGCGCAAGCGUUGUUCGGAAUUACUGGGCGUAAAGCGCACGUAGGCGGAUUGUUAAGUCGGGGGUGAAAUCCUGGAGCUCAACUCCAGAACUGCCUUCGAAACUGGCGAUCUUGAGUCCGGGAGAGGUGAGUGGAACUGCGAGUGUAGAGGUGAAAUUCGUAGAUAUUCGCAAGAACACCAGUGGCGAAGGCGGCUCACUGGCCCGGUACUGACGCUGAGGUGCGAAAGCGUGGGGAGCAAACAGG
rnacentral:rRNA from 1 species